rnacentral:rRNA from 1 species
AUUGAACGCUGGCGGCAUGCUUUACACAUGCAAGUCGAACGGUAACAGGUUAAGCUGACGAGUGGCGAACGGGUGAGUAAUGCAUCGGAACGUGCCCGGUCGUGGGGGAUAACACUUCGAAAGAAGUGCUAAUACCGCAUACGAUCUGAGGAUGAAAGCGGGGGACCGUAAGGCCUCGCGCGAUCGGAGCGGCCGAUGUCAGAUUAGGUAGUUGGUGGGGUAAAGGCUCACCAAGCCGACGAUCUGUAGCUGGUCUGAGAGGACGACCAGCAACACUGGGACUGAGACACGGCCCAGACUCCUACGGGAGGCAGCAGUGGGGAAUUUUGGACGAUGGGCGCAAGCCUGAUCCAGCAAUGCCGCGUGCAGGAAGAAGGCCUUCGGGUUGUAAACUGCUUUUGUACGGAGCGAAAAGGCUCUCUCUAAUACAGGGGGCUCAUGACGGUACCGUAAGAAUAAGCACCGGCUAACUACGUGCCAGCCGCCGCGGUAACAC